GAAGUAGUGCCUAUGCGCUAUUUAGUGGCAAACGGGUGAGUAACACGUAGCUUAGCUGUCCUAAAGUGGGGGAUAGCCGCGGGAAGCCGCGGGUAAUACCGCAUGUGAUCUACGGAUUAAAGCUUAAUGCGCUUUAGGAGGUGGCUGCGGCCCAUCAGGUUGUUGGCGGGGUAAUGGCCCACCAAGCCUAUGACGGGUAUCCGGCCUGAGAGGGUGAUCGGACACAUUGGAACUGAGACACGGUCCAGACUCCUACGGGAGGCAGCAGCUAGGAAUUUUCCGCAAUGGACGAAAGUCUGACGGAGCAACGCCGCGUGAAGGAUGAAGGUCUUUAGGGAUUGUAAACUUCUUUUAUAUGAGACGAGUAAGGACGGUAUCAUAAGAAUAAGUCCCGGCUAACUACGUGCCAGCAGCCGCGGUAAUACGUAGGGGGCUAGCGUUGUUCGGAAUUACUGGGUAUAAAGGGUGCGCAGGCGGAUUUCUAAGCAAGAGGUGAAAUGUCAAGGCUCAACCAUGGCACUGCCUUUUGAACUGGUUAUCUGGAGUACAGAAGGGGAGAGCAGAAUUUCCGGUGUAGGGGUGG
rnacentral:rRNA from 1 species